ACCAGACUCCUACGGUAGGCAGCAUUUUUGAAUAUUGUGCAAUGGGCGCAAUCCUUACCCAGCAACUCCUCUUGAAGGAAUAAUUCUUUCGGGUUUUCCACUUCUUUUGACCUUGAAGAGCAUCAUCCGGUACCUUUCUCCUAAGCCACUUCUCACUACGUGCCCUCAUCCGCGGUACUCCUUCGGUGGCAAUCUUUGUCCGGAUUUACUGGGUGUAAAGGUCGUGUAGCCGGGGUGACAAGUCAGAUGUGAAAUCCGGGGGGUCAACCCCCGAACUGCAUUUGAAACUGUUGGUCUUGAGUAUCGGAGAGGAAGGCGGAAUUCAUAGUGUAGCGGUGAAAUGCGUAGAGAGGGGGAGGAACAACAGUGGCGAAGGCGGCAUGCUGGACGACAACUGACGGUGAGGCGCGAAAGCGUGGGGAGCAAACAGGAUUAGAUACCCCUGUA
rnacentral:rRNA from 1 species